rnacentral:rRNA from 1 species
UGCGUAGGUGGCAAGCGUUGUCCGGAUUUACUGGGCGUAAAGAGCGCGCAGGCGGUCGUUCAAGUCGCGUGUGAAAGCCCCCGGCUCAACUGGGGAGGGUCACGCGAUACUGAUCGACUCGAAGGCAGGAGAGGGUAGUGGAAUUCCCGGUGUAGUGGUGAAAUGCGUAGAUAUCGGGAGGAACACCAGUGGCGAAGGCGACUACCUGGCCUGUUUCUUGACGCUGAGGCGCGAAAGCUAGGGGAGCAAACGGG